UAGGGAAUUUUCGUCAAUGGGCGCAAGCCUGAACGAGCAAUGCCGCGUGAGUGAGGAAGGUCUUCGGAUCGUAAAGUUCUGUUGAAGGGGAAAAAGAGCGGAGAGAGGAAAUGGUCUCCGAUUGAUAUUACCCUUCGAGGAAGUCACGGCUAACUACGUGCC
rnacentral:rRNA from 1 species